GAUGAACGCUGGCGGCGUGCCUAAUACAUGCAAGUCGAGCGAAUGGAUUAAGAGCUUGCUCUUAUGAAGUUAGCGGCGGACGGGUGAGUAACACGUGGGUAACCUGCCCAUAAGACUGGGAUAACUCCGGGAAACCGGGGCUAAUACCGGAUAACAUUUUGAACCGCAUGGUUCGAAAUUGAAAGGCGGCUUCGGCUGUCACUUAUGGAUGGACCCGCGUCGCAUUAGCUAGUUGGUGAGGUAACGGCUCACCAAGGCAACGAUGCGUAGCCGACCGGAGAGGGGGAUCGGCCACAGUGGGACUGAGACACGGCCCAGACGCCUACGGGAGGCAGCAGUAGGGAAUCUUCCGCAAUGGACGAAAGUCUGACGGAGCAACGCCGCGUGAGUGAUGAAGGCUUUCGGGUCGUAAAACUCUGUUGUUAGGGAAGAACAAGUGCUAGUUGAAUAAGCUGGCACCUUGACGGUACCUAACCAGAAAGCCACGGCUAACUACGUGCCAGCCGCCGCAGUAA
rnacentral:rRNA from 1 species